rnacentral:rRNA from 1 species
GUCGAACGCUGGCGGCGUGCCUAAUACAUGCAAGUCGAACGCAGUGGGGACGGGUGAGUAACACGUGGGUAACCUCCCAUCAGAGGGGCUAAAACUUGGAAACAGGUGCUAAACCGAUACUGAGGUAUCGUCCCGCUGUGCAUUAGCUAGUUGGCGCGGUAACGGCUCACCAAGGCCACGAUGCCUAGCCGACCUGAGAGGGUGAUCAGCAACACUGGGACUGAGACACGGCCCAGACUCCUACGGGAGGCAGCAGUAGGGAAUGUUGCGCAAUGGACGAAAGGCUGACCGAGCCAUGCCGCGUGAGUGAAGAAGGUUUUCGGAUAGUAAAACACUGUUGUUAGAGAGGCGGUAUCUAACCAGAAAGCCACGGCUAACUACGUGCCAGCAGCCGCGGUAAUAC